rnacentral:tRNA from 1 species
UAUAAAAAAAGUUAUAAAUAAGGAAAGAGAGGGAUUC